GAACUAUACACAUUUUAUCAACUAAAAAUAUUUUUAUUUUCUUUAAUUCAUGUUUAUUCUCUUUAAUAGUGUCAUAUAUACUAUGUCUUUGUUUGGUAGAGAUUAAAAUCAGGCUUUUAGUAGAUUUUAAUAAAAGUUGAUAAAAUAUUUGGUUAAAAGUUGUCAUAUGAAAUAUAUAAUUAAAAUUAAUUAUUGAUUUUGAUUUAAAUUAAAAUUAAAAUUUUAAUCCCAUCAAACGGGGACUAUAUUAAUUGUUUGUAAAUAUUAACAUUGAUUCUAGAAUUUACGUCAAGUAGAGCGAUCAUUAAGUAUUAUUUUUCAAUUUGUUUUCUUUCCAUGACCCAUAACUAGCCCUUUUUCAGAGUAAACAAGAAUUCCGUAUAAAAAAAUUUGAAGAACUAUUUAAUAUUGGGAAAAUUGCAAUAGUAUUCUCUAACCUCUCACUUUUUUGCAUACUUUAUCCUAACUUUCAGUUUUUACCCGCAGAGAUUCCAAACCUUUGAGAAAUUAGCAAUUGAAGUCCAAAUGGAUGAAUUUGACAAUUAGUUGAUCAGAAGAGUUGAUUAUGACCAAAUUCUAAAAGAAUAAAAUGAUAACUUUGCAAUUUUAAUAUAAAAUAAAUAAAGAAAGAAAGAAAAAAACACAGCUAUCUAUCUAUUUCUUCUCUCCCAAAUCACAAUCACGGAUCAUUUUCUCUGUAGAACAACACUAUGAUUUCUUAUUUUUUUCAGAGCUUAGAUCUCUCUCCCUAGCUUUCUAUAGUUCUUCUAUUUUUUUCCCAAAUCUCUCCGGCCAUCUUCUUUCACAUAUAUAGGGAUUUCUUAGAACUUAGCGUCUGAAGAUGGGUUCUACGAACUUAGAUCUGCAUAGCAUAAUCUAUCCGGAAUCGAUCGACCAUUAUGAUAUGCUGCCAAAUUCUAUUAUUCCUUUGAUCUUUAACAACGAACGAGAUCUUUUAGUACUUGAAACAAAGACGUCGAGGUAUGUCCUCGUCGUCCUUCUGAUACUUAAGUCAAAUAGAGAAUUUAUGUAUGAGAUUAUGAACUGAAAAU
rnacentral:lncRNA from 1 species